CCCAGCGUGGUAUAGUGGUUUGAGUGCUGGACUACAGCUCAAGAGAUCAGGGUUCAAAUUCCUGCUCAGCCA